GGAGGAGGCGGGCCAGCCCCGUGAAAAUGGCCAGGAGGAGUCCUAGCCAUCGCCUGGGCUGAGCCGGAAGACGAGCCUGGCCCCAAGGUGGACGGGGCGGACGAUGAAAUCUCUUGGAGCUUGGAGAGUGUGUGUGAGAGCGACCUCGCUGACAGCAACCUCGCAGAAAGUGAUCGAGGUAAGAACAGCUCUCAGGUAGGAGCCAGUGGGAGAGGGUUCCCGGGACACUUGGGUUAGGCUGCUGCUUGGAGGGUGGGGCGGGUGAGUGUGCAAUUGCAAAAGAGAAAGAAAUUGGUGUAAAGAUGUUCGUCGCCUAUGUUCCUAAGGAGGGGGAGCAGGUAUG